rnacentral:rRNA from 1 species
GAUGAACGCUGGCGGCGUGCCUAAUACAUGCAAGUCGAGCGAACAGACGAGGAGCUUGCUCCUCUGACGUUAGCGGCGGACGGGUGAGUAACACGUGGAUAACCUACCUAUAAGACUGGGAUAACUUCGGGAAACCGGAGCUAAUACCGGAUAAUAUAUUGAACCGCAUGGUUCAAUAGUGAAAGACGGUUUUGCUGUCACUUAUAGAUGGAUCCGCGCCGCAUUAGCUAGUUGGUAAGGUAACAGCUUACCAAGGCGACGAUGCGUAGCCGACCUGAGAGGGUGAUGGGCCACUGGAACUGAGACACGGUCCAGACUCCUACGGGAGGCAGCAGUAGGGAAUCUUCCGCAAUGGGCGAAAGCCUGACGGAGCAACGCCGCGUGAGUGAUGAAGGUCUUCGGAUCGUAAAACUCUGUUAUUAGGGAAGAACAAAUGUGUAAGUAACUAUGCACGUCUUGACGGUACCUAAUCAGAAAGCCACGGCUAACUACGUG